GAUGAACGCUGGCGGCGUGCCUAAUACAUGCAAGUCGAGCGAACAGAUGAGGAGCUUGCUCCUCUGACGUUAGCGGCGGACGGGUGAGUAACACGUGGAUAACCUACCUAUAAGACUGGGAUAACUUCGGGAAACCGGAGCUAAUACCGGAUAAUAUAUUGAACCGCAUGGUUCAAUAGUUAAAGACGGUUUUGCUGUCACUUAUAGAUGGAUCCGCGCCGCAUUAGCUAGUUGGUAAGGUAACGGCUUACCAAGGCAACGAUGCGUAGCCGACCUGAGAGGGGGAUCGGCCACACUGGAACUGAGACACGGUCCAGACUCCUACGGGAGGCAGCAGUAGGGAAUCUUCCGCAAUGGGCGUAAGCCUGACGGAGCAACGCCGCGUGAGUGAUGAAGGUCUGCGGAUCGUAAAACUCUGUUAUUAGGGAAGAACAAAUGUGUAAGUAACUAUGCACGUCUGGACGGUACCUAAUCAGAAAGCCACGGCUAACUACGU
rnacentral:rRNA from 1 species